GGGUAGGUACCGAAGCGGUCAAACGGGGUGGACUGUAAAUCCACUGGCUUAGCCUUCAAAGGUUCGAAUCCUUUCCUGCCCA
rnacentral:tRNA from 1 species